CCUACGGGAGGCAGCAGUAGGGAAUAUUGCUCAAUGGGGGAAACCCUGACGCAGCAACGCCGCGUGAAGGAUGAAGGUUUUCGGAUUGUAAACUCCUUUUGUUAGAGAAGAUAAUGACGGUAUCUAACGAAUAAGCACCGGCUAAAUUCGUGCCAGCAGCCGCGGUAAUACGGAGGGGGCAAGCGUUAUUCGGAUUCACUGGGCGUAAAGGGCGCGUAGGCGGGAUAGCAAGUCAGAUGUGAAAUCCAAUGGCUUAACCAUAGAACUGCAUUUGAUACUGUUAUUCUUGAGUAUGGGAGAGGUAGGCGGAAUUCUUGGUGUAGCGGUGAAAUGCGUAGAGAUCAAGAGGAACACUCAUUGCGAAGGCGGCCUGCUAGACCGUAACUGACGCUGAUGCGCGAAAGCGUGGGGAGCAAACAGGAUUAGAUACCCGAGUAGUC
rnacentral:rRNA from 1 species